rnacentral:rRNA from 1 species
GAUGAACGCUGGCGGCGUGCCUAACACAUGCAAGUCGAGCGUGAUUGUUAUGAGUGGCGGCUUCGGUCAAAGCGAGUAACAUGAAAGCGGCGGACGGGUGAGUAACGCGUGGGCAACCUGCCCCAUACACGAGGAUAGCCACUGGAAACGGUGAUUAAUACUCGAUAAGACCACACUGCCACAUGGCAGAGCGGCCAAAGAUUUAUCGGUAUGGGAUGGGCCCGCGUCUGAUUAGCUAGUUGGUGAGGUAACGGCUCACCAAGGCGACGAUCAGUAACCGACCUGAGAGGGCGGACGGUCACACUGGAACUGAGACACGGUCCAGACUCCUACGGGUGGCAG